rnacentral:rRNA from 1 species
UGAGCCUGCACUUGAUUAGUUUGUUGGUGGGGUAAUGGCCUACCAAGACUGUGAUCAAUAGCUGAUUUGAGAGGAUGAUCAGCCACAUUGGGACUGAGACACGGCCCAAACUCCUACGGGAGGCAGCAGUGGGGAAUCUUGCACAAUGGAGGAAACUCUGAUGCAGCGAUGCCGCGUGAGUGAAGAAGGCCCUU